UUCCCUCAGUAAACAUUGUAAACAUGAGUUCACGGUCUCAGUUUCUAGUUUCAAGUCUUCUUCAAUACAUGUAGAGUCAAACCGACCAUGAAGCAGGGGAUGCUUUAGGGCGGGGCUACGCGCUGAUUGACAAGUCGCAGCCACAGCUUUGUCUUGAAAUUGUCCACCGUUUUGAUGGAAUGUAUGUAUCUCCGCGCUCUUGAGUCACUUGACUGUCAAGAAAACCAAACUGGCGCUGUGCAAAACCAAGAUGGCAGCAGCCCUGUGUCAGGUCGUUGAUCCACGGGGGAAGACCAAAGCAUGACUGGUUUAACCACUCCAACAAUCUCCUGCAGGGUCGCAAAGUAAUUAUCGAUCCAUUGAUGGCAUCAUGCAUCAAGAUUUGUUUAACAAGAGAAGUACCCGUCUAUAGAACAACUAAAACGAAAAGAACACUCCCCCCCUAAAUGACCCCUUCACUAAGUAAGGAUUUUGGAUAUUUACACAGUUUUGUCUUUCAUCGUUCAGAUCUCUUUCCACGGUCUACUUCCUGUUCCUUUUUCAAGACGGUUUACAGUUCCUGAAACUCAGUUUUCCCUGUGAUGGCAGGGCCAGUGCUGCGGCGUGGUGAGCUCGGAUGACUGGGAGGACAACAUCCCCUCCAGCUGUGACUGCCGGUCAGCGAGCCGAGGCGCGUAUCAACCCUUCACAGCUUAUGCAGCCGGGUGCAAAGCCAAGCCCCAGGGAGUCUCAGGCCCAGACCAAAUCUAUAAACAGACAUGCGGGGAUUUCAUCUUCUCCUGGUUCAACUUCGUCUUGCAGAUCGUGAUGGGCUUCUUCUUCGGACUGGCUGUCACGGCUGUGAUGGGCCUGCUGGUCUCCCUCCUGAUGAUCCAUCAGGUCAGACGCCACGAAACCAGAGAAGCGUCCAUCGCGAUGAAGGGCUACUAAGAGACCCUUCAGCCAGUCCCCUCUGGCCCCGACCCCUGACCCCUCUCACCUCUGCACUGCACCAGGAGGACUCAGUGGUCCUCUGUUUCUAUUUCAAUGUAUUUUCAGGCUUUUAGGGGGGGGGGGGGUGUGCUUGCAGACAGAGAAUCUCCACAUUCCAGAGUUUUUUUUUUACUUCCAGCUUUUCAUAUUAGGCUUUAUAUUAGAGAAUGCGGCUUGAAUAGCGAAUAUAUUUUUGUUAUAUUUUUGUUGAGGGGGUUCGGGGUUUUAUCACUUGUUUCUCAUCGUAGCCUUAUAUAGUCUCAUCUGACUGUGCAGCUUUAUUAACCCCGGGAGGCACCUUUGGAACAAUCUUCAACAAUUUCUCAACCAUCUUAAUUGCCGUUCACAUCCGGCAACAACAAAGAAAAAACAAUCCAAAAACCUUCGAAUCGGUUGCCUUCCGGUAGACGGCGUGAAUUUGAGGGUUAAAGGUCACCAAAGUCAUCCUUGUAGGAAAAUGUGCGUAAACAAACUCCGUUGAUUUGGCGGGUUCACAGAUUUAUUUGCAGUUACAGAUCAUGAAUUCAAUCAAUUGAAGAACCUGAACUCAAAGUAACAUCACAGAAAAACCUCCUGGGGUCAAACUAACCGUGUAAAAGGUCAAGCUCUAUGUGUUAUUAUGAAAGAAGAAACAAUAAACUUAGAUAGAAUCCAUUUUUUCUGUGUAAAGGUCUCUUGUGCACAUGUGUUCUGUGAUUGACAGAAAUAAAGCUUGUUAAUGAGACUGUUGACUUGUGGGCUACUUGUAGUUUGCAGACCACAUUCAUCCACGUUCGUUUAUAACGUCCCACAUUCACAGUUUACAGACCAUCAGCUCUCUGAUCAGGGUGCACCUUGGCAUUUCCCAGCAUGCACUGGGCCCCAUCAUCUCCGUCUCCUUUGUCUCUCCAUGGCGAGUGAGCCCAGCGGCCGAUAGAUGGCAGCGGCCACCAGAGAACAAUCUGCGCUGAGGCCGCGUUCGGAUCCGCCGACCUUCCUCUCCCACAGACGAGCCCACGCUUGAGCGUGUCAUCGCCGGGUCACCGCGGUCUCUGACUCGCAUGUUGAAUCCAUUUCACGGUCAAGUUGCGUUUCUGUCGUCUUAAAAUGGAGUUCCUGCACAUCAAAACUGUUUUAAGUCAAAGAAGCUGCACAUUUCCUUGGAGGAGGAUCCUCAAACGCAGCAUCACAGCAGCUUAGAUUCACCAUAAGAAGUAAAAAUAUCUUCUUCAUCCUGCUGCAUUUUAUUUAUAACUAAUUAGCUCACAGCCGGUCUGCCAAGCUGGUGCUGAUUUACGCCCUCAGGCAUCUUAUAAUAUGAUAUAAAGCAAUACUAUUAGCAACAAAUGACCCAUGAAAGCACUGUAAGCACAAUGGGUAAAUAUACAAACGCAUCUUAACCUCGAAUAACGACAGAAUAAAAACGCCGCGACUCUUUGACAUGAUUAAAGAAAUAAUAAAUAGCUCUCGUCUUGUUGUGGUCUUUUUUAAACACAAUGUACAGAUGGAUGCUGAACAUUAUGAAUCCAAAGCUUCAGUUAAGGUUGUUUACUCUUUUUAAUUUGCUUCCUUAAAUGAACAAACUGGGUUUGUGUGUGUGAUGUUUGCAUGAGCCUCUUCUCCAGCAGCAAUGUUCUGUGUUUAAAAAGAAAAUCAUUACCAGUUCAAGCAUUCCCCAUAUUAAGCAUAUUUAAAGGAAAAGGGACCAUGUGACAGUGUCACAGUUUGUUCAACGUGUUCUUUAUUUAAGUAAGAUUUUAGAUAUAACAGAUAAAAAGACUGUUACUGAACCAGCAUUGUAUUCGGCGUGUUAUUAUCAUCAUCACGGGGGACUUUUGUCAUUUUCCUGUGAGAAAUGAUCGUGAUGAGCGACGCUCAGAUGUCUUUAAGACUUUUACUGUAGAUGCUGCAGGCCGCCCGACCUCCACUCCAGUCGGACGAACCAUAUUCAGCACAAGACAAAGUCAAGAAAGAGGUCGCUCCAUUUACUCCUCCGCUAUGAUGCUCAACUCGUAACCAGACAUCCUGAUUUCUCUCCUUUAAAACAUCCAAACGAUGACUGUUUUCCUCUGAAGUGCAUCUCAUUAUGUUUGGACAACUGCAAUUCUGCUCCUGCAUUCACCACGUUCCUCUAUUGUUACUGAAACCCGCUGCGUCGUCCUUCAUCAGGUGUGUUACAUCGGCGGGAACGUCGCCUACGAGCAGCGGCGACGAGGCGGCGAGCGAUGGGGCCCUUCCAGCUCAGACGCGUGUUGGUAGCAGUUGAUUGACAGAUCGAAACCAACUGUAUUGUCGCUACAACAACAGGGACGGCCCCCCUGAACAAACACAUCAAAGGCUUGAUGUUAAUAUGUUGCACAAAUAAAUGCAAGAUUAUUCCGUUUAUGCUGCAUGAGGACAAAACAGCUUUUAUGUCCCACAACUCAGAGUAUGAAGCUCUCAUCAGGUUGGACAUGUGACCCGGUGGACAUGUAACUUGGUGGACAUGUUACCCGGUGGACAUGUGACCCGGUGGACAUGUGACUUGGCGGGCAUGUGACCCGGUGGACAUGUGACCCGGUGGACAUGUGACCUGGUGCACAUGUGACACGGUGGACAUGUGAGCCGGUGGACAUGUUACCUGGUGGACAUGUGACCUGGUGGACACGUGUCCUGGUGGACAUGUGAGCUGGUGGACAUGUGACACGGUGGACAUGUGAGCCGGUGGACAUGUUACCUGGUGGACAUGUGAGCUGGUGGACAUGUGACCUGGUGGACAUGUGACACGGUGGACAU
ensembl:lncRNA